CCAGCGUUAUUCGGAAUUAUUGGGCGUAAAGGGCGCGUAGGCGGCCAUGCGUGUCUUCCGUGAAAUCCCUCGGCUUAACUGAGGACGUGCGGAAGAAACUGCAAGGCUCGAGUCCGGGAGAGGGAAGCGGAAUUCCCGGUGUAGUGGUGAAAUGCGUAGAUAUCGGGAGGAACACCAGUGGCGAAGGCGGCUUCCUGGCCUGUUCUUGACGCUGAGGCGCGAAAGCGUGGGGAGCGAACAGG
rnacentral:rRNA from 1 species